rnacentral:rRNA from 1 species
CAGUGGCGAACGGGUGAGUAACGCGUAAGAACCUGCCCUUGGGAGGGGAACAACAACUGGAAACGGUUGCUAAUACCCCGUAGGCUGAGGAGCAAAAGGAGAAAUCCGCCCAAGGAGGGGCUCGCGUCUGAUUAGCUAGUUGGUGAGGCAAUAGCUUACCAAGGCGAUGAUCAGUAGCUGGUCCGAGAGGAUGAUCAGCCACACUGGGACUGAGACACGGCCCAGACUCCUACGGGAGGCAGCAGUGGGGAAUUUUCCGCAAUGGGCGAAAGCCUGACGGAGCAAUGCCGCGUGGAGGUGGAAGGCCUACGGGUCGUCAACUUCUUUUCUCGGAGAAGAAACAAUGACGGUAUCUGAGGAAUAAGCAUCGGCUAACUCUGUGCCAGCAGCCGCGGUAAU